AUGAAGAUGCUUAAUUGGAAUGUCUGUGGCCUUGGUGACAGCGAUAAAUGCUCGCCUGUUCAUGAUGUUUUAACCUCCUGUUGUCCUAGCAUUGUUUCUCUCCGGGAAACGAAGCUUGAUGACCUUCCUUUGCUCAAGCUACGCAGUUUUUUACCUGCCAACCUUACUGCUCACGCUGCUGCUCGCUCAGAUGGCACUUCAGGAGGCAUUCUUGUUGCUUGGGACCCCAAUAUUGUGCAAGGCCAAACUGUUGCUGCUCACAAGUUCCAUGUCACUGUCAAGAUGUCUUCUACAACAACCAAUAGUUCGUUUCUGCUCAUACCCGUUUAUGCACCAUGUUUAAUCAAUGAGAGACCAGAGUUUUUUGAGGUUGUUAAUGAUGUUGCUGCUGAGCCGGGUACACCUUGA
rnacentral:rRNA from 1 species